GCCAACAGGAUUCAGUUUUGCACACACUCAUUCACUUCCUUCCCACUGCUUCUCAAAGCUGUCAGAUAGACAUAUUAUAGAGGUUUUCAGAAGUUCAGGACUGGUAGUACAAGUGGAUUUAGCAGUCUAAUAUCAAAGAAUCCAAGGAAAAAAGCCCUCCUGGAAUUCUGUCAGAAGAAGUAAACAACAGAGCACCGUCUUCACAGUUCUCUCUGUAAAAGGCCAUCUCUAAAAUCCUACAGAUACUUAGUUCUGAACUGAUCUCUGAAACUUAAACGUAAGAAUUAAGAGGACCUGAAGAGGAUCGUAUCAGCAGAAGACGCAUAUGCUUGCUUUAAAAAAAUCCUGAAUUAGAGUCUAAGAAGUCAUAUUAAGAAGUGCAAUAGAGAACACUCCUCUUCAUGGAAAUGGGAAACUUACCUAAAUAAAAUAUACAUUAAAACAAUUCCUUCCACAUAGUUUCCAUGCAAAAUAUAGAGAGAAGAAUGGAGAGAGAGAGAGAAGGAGAUUAGGAGGGAACAAGGUGUGGGUGAAGAAGAGAAAGAAAGAGACAGAGAGGGAGAGAGACAGGAUUCCUGUGCUCACAUUCAGCCAGAAAUGUGAAAAUUGGUGGUUUUGGUUUGGACCUUGCAUGGUUUCAAUUCCUCCCAAGUCUGCACCCUUAAGUUUUACUUUAGGUUAUGGGGUGAAUAAAAUGACAUUCAAAACAAUACCCAUCAUGUUACCAAGAUACUCCUUUCUUUAGUAUGAAAUCAUUAAAAAACCGCGAAGUCUUGGCAGCACUUCUACCUGAAGUUAUCUGUAUUCUAAUAUUCACUGGCUAUUCACCUUUGGUGAAAAGUUUACAAACUCUGGCAAACAUCAUCUGUGUUCUGGUUUUGUAGCAGAUAAUGAAAACAUGAAGUCACUAAUUGAUUCUGCUUUCAUUAUGAAAGCUCCUCCACUAUUUAUAGCUGGCCACACAAAACAGACAGUAGUGGCUGAAUUGAUGCACUGGAGUCAUCUGGGAUCGACAAAAGAUGAGUUUGACUUCUGCAGCAGAAAAACAUGAUUUAUGUCAAACUCUAUUUUCUUGCUCAAUUUGGUAUCUCACUUUUAACUACUCUUUGAUCUGCUGCAUGUUCUGAGUAAACUACCAGAUUUCCCUCUGCUGCAGUUUCUUCCUAUUCUGUAAUACCAGGAUAAUGUUUACUCAGCUUGGUAACGGUGCUUACACAAUUUCGGAUGAAUGACUAAAAACCAAUUAUCACCAUUAUGUUCUAAAAACUGCAGAAACUACAUACAGAGAAUCUAGCAUUCACAAAAUAGGCAUUUUAAAAUUGUUCAGGCUUUAAGCAUUUCGGUUCUGGGGCAAGGGGAGGGUGUGAGUUAUAUAUUUAGUAACACUGCAUUCAAUGCAAUGUUGCUUCACAAACUGAAUUAAUCUCUUAAAAAACAUUAACCCUCAGAUUAUGACUUAGAAUUUAAUAAUCAGUUAAAAUUGGUCCUAUUGGAAAAGCAAUCCAAAAACCUUUCCUCAAGAAAUUGUUAAGACUUCCCUCCAAGUUUGGCAUGCUGUAGCCUCUAUACACCCAGUAAGUUUCACUUUAAUUUAAUAUCUUAUGCUUUGAAGAAAACAACUAGAAUUGAAAGAAAAAAAAAAAGUUUAAAGCUAUUAGGAAGAAAAUGACUGUGUUUGAUAUCAGAUAAAACCACGGUCAGUGUCUGAUUCACUGGCGUUUUCCCAGGCACAAGACAUGUUUUCCCCAGGGGUCACCAGGUCCAGGCAAGCUGCAUUCUUUCUGCCAGGCACUUUGUAAUGUGCAAUGAACAGUGUCAUUUAUUUUCAUUUCCUCAUACUUAAUUGCAUGCUUCUUGCUUCCAAUAAUAAGCCAGAAGGCAGGUGGUAGAAGCAGUAAACUAAACUACUACUAGCUGUCAGAGUUACAGACCAUUCUAGUCUCCUCUUGAAACAACCCAAACUGCUGAACUGGAAAAACACUUUCUUCCAUUGUGCAUUAAUAGAGAUUUCCUUUUUAUUCUAUUAAAAAAAGAAAAAAAAAAAAAAAAACUCAGUGCUUAGCAAACACAAAUUCAUUAAUUUAUCUUCUGUCACAUCAGAAGGAAGCAAUAUAUAUAUUAGCAAUAGUAUGCCAAUGUACUUUUAAAGUGUAGUGAGAUGGCUCUUUUAGCCAAGUAAUAUCAGCAAUUAUACUUCUGUAACUCAUUAAUGACUUCAGUACUAAGCUAUUUAAAACCUGAAUGAUCCUGUCUGAAUGUAGAAAUGUCUAUUAGCUAUGCUACAUUCGCGUUUAUCACAUUUGAAAAUAAAUGAAUUAUUUCAUUUAUGUGGAAAUUAACAUUUAUUUCAUUUUCUACUAUGAUAAUAAAUGAAAUAAAACUUUAUUGAAGACCCCC
rnacentral:lncRNA from 7 species